AUCUGUUUGAUUAUUUCUGAGUACAGUCACAUGCCCCGUUAUAAAAGAGUAUAUGAUUUAAUUCAGUCAUUCAUUUAUUUAUCCCUAAAAUAUUUCUUUUUUGUUGUUGUUUGCUAUAUCACAGUAAGGGUGUAAAAGAUCUGAGCCGCACAGAAUUCGAGCUGGGCAUGUUGAUUCAGAGGCAUAGAGCGGGUACUGGACCUCUGCCUGACACACCACAAUCCUCCUUCUCUUCUCUCCAUCUGUCUGAGAAAUUGGAGAUUUGUAUGGAGAUCAACCUCAACGGCCUCUUCAUCGUGUUAUCUGUGCACUGUGGAUCAAAACUCCAGACCGACUCAGAUCUUCAAUCUCAGGAAUGUCAUUCUUUCAAAGCUUUCACUGGGUCAUAAGUGGGUGGAAUAAGUUUCCACCUACACACCACCUUGCCUUUAUUACUCUCACUAAAUAACUAAAAACCCUUUUUUACUUUGCA